rnacentral:tRNA from 1 species
GCACCAUUAGCUCAGUAGGAUAGAGCGUCCGCCUCCUAAGCGGAAGGCCACUGGUUCGAAUCCAGUAUGGUGUGCCA